AACACUGUUAACCUGCGGUACCUGCGGAAGGAUCAUUAUAGUAUAUGGAAUCUCCAUUCUAUAAACCCACUCUGCGUAUCUUGUAACUGUUGCUUCCAUGGGACUUGGUUCCGCCACACCGGCUUCACGGCUGGUGAGCGCCCAUGGAAGGAGAAACAAAACUCUUCUUUGAAAUGUAGUCAGUCUGAACAAGUUUUUAUAAACGUUAAAACUUUCAGCAAUGGAUCUCAGAUCGGAAGA
rnacentral:misc_RNA from 1 species